ACCAUUUUGGCAGAUGAAGUGUAAUGAAUUUAGAAUUCAUAGAUAUGAUUUAAUUAAUUAUAUGUGGUA
rnacentral:tRNA from 1 species